AGAACAGAAGUAGGGAAGCUUCCACUGGACAAAUCCCUCUGAUCAGCAGGAGGCCAGGAAAGCUAAUGACUUAAAAUCCUCCUCAUUCACUCCUUCCUUCACACUCUUUCUCCAGUGAAAGAACUCUCCUGGGGAAAGUUAGGUCUGGAAUACCUCGGGACAAAGAUGCUCAUAAGAUUUCCAGAACAAAAAUCAAAUACAAUGGGCAAUCUUUAGAAUAACCCGGCUUAGUAAACUGG
rnacentral:lncRNA from 1 species